rnacentral:rRNA from 1 species
CCUACGGGUGGCAGCAGUGAGGAAUAUUGGUCAAUGGACGAGAGUCUGAACCAGCCAAGUAGCGUGAAGGAUGACUGUCCUAUGGGUUGUAAACUUCUUUUAUAUAGGAAUAAAGCGGGGUAUGCGUACCCUUUUGUAUGUACCAUAUGAAUAAGGAUCGGCUAACUCCGUGCCAGCAGCCGCGGUAAUACGGAGGAUCCGAGCGUUAUCCGGAUUUAUUGGGUUUAAAGGGAGCGUAGUUGGGUUGUUAAGUCAGUUGUGAAAGUUUGCGGCUCAACCGUAAAAUUGCAGUUGAAACUGGCAGUCUUGAGUACAGUAGAGGUGGGCGGAAUUCGUGGUGUAGCGGUGAAAUGCUUAGAUAUCACGAAGAACUCCGAUUGCGAAGGCAGCUUACUGGACUGCAACUGACACUGAUGCUCGAAAGUGUGGGUAUCAAACAGGAUUAGAUACCCCGGUAGUC